GAAGGAGGCUAUACAAGUUCACAUGCACCCUCUCCCCCACCAUCAACACAAGACAACAACUAGAUCAACAUCCAACACAAAAGACACCGAAACUACACCUCACACAGGACCACCGUUAUCAUCUUCAACUUCAAUUUCGACCUCAAGCUCCACCACCACCACCACCCUGCGCAGCCAUGGCCAGCUCGAACUGUUUCAGUGACAGAGAAGGGAUGGAGAGGAACUCGGGGGCUCGAACCUCCCAGCUCUUCAUCACAUCUACACUAUUGAAUCCAUCCCAUCCUAUGUGCCCCACAUGCUGCACGUCUGUCGGCAAUCCUAUCUCCAUCUCCACCUCCUCGUCCUCGUCCUUGUACACAAACAGCUGCGAGAGGCUCUUGAUGCUCUUGAUCAGCUUCUGCAGGCCAGCGGAGAUGGUGCUCGGUCUUUGUAGUGCGAAGGCCGUGCUCUUCAGUUGCCUUCUGCCUGACGGAGGUGGAGGCGAUGGGGAGUCUAGGGUGGAUUUUUUCUCUACGACAUCGAC
rnacentral:misc_RNA from 1 species